GGAGUAGUCCAGGUGAUCGCCGGCUCUCCUCGUGGGAGCGGGAGGAAAGUCCGAGCUCCACAGGGCGGGGUGGUCCGUAACGCGGACUGGGGGCGACCCUAAGGAAAGUGCCACAGAAAACAAACCGCCUCCGUAUCGGAGGUAAGGGUGAAACGGUGAGGCAAGAGCUCACCAGAUUCGAUGGUGACAUCGAAUGCUAGGUAAACCCCACCCGGAGCAAGACCAAAUAGGAGGGCGCUACAAGGCGGCCCGUCUUUUGCCCUCGGGUAGGUCGCUCGAGGUUCCGGGCAACCGGAAUCCUAGAUGAAUGAUCACCGCCCCGCAUCGGGCAACCUGUGCGGGGAACAGAACUCGGCUUAUGGACUGCUCCGGCA
rnacentral:RNase_P_RNA from 1 species